AUUGAACGCUGGCGGCAGGCCUAACACAUGCAAGUCGAGCGAGCGGCGGACGGGUGAGUAAUGUCUGGGAAACUGCCUGAUGGAGGGGGAUAACUACUGGAAACGGUAGCUAAUACCGCAUACCAUAAGAAGUGACCAGAUGGGAUUAGCUAGUAGGUGGGGUAACGGCUCACCUAUGCGACGCUCCCUAGCUGGUCUGAGAGGAUGACCAGCCAAACGUGAACUGAGAUACGGUCCAGACUCCUACGGGAGGCAGCAGUGGGGAAUAUUGCACAAGGGGCGCAAGCCUGAUGCAGCCAUGCCGCGUGUGUGAAGAAGGCCUUCGGGUUGUAAAGCACUUUCAGCGGGGAGGCGUUACCCGCAGAAGAAGCACCGGCUAACUCCGUGCCAGCCGCCGCGGUAAUAC
rnacentral:rRNA from 1 species